UAGCUUGGAAACUUGCCCCUCUGCUUGCGGCUUAGCUCAUCAGCCCUCCCAGUGGGCGGGGACAAGGCUGCUGUAUGGUUAGGUUGAGCCUCGCUGCGUGCGUCUAUAACUUUGUGUUGCUUGCUGCUGCUGGUGGUUAGGAGAAGGAAUGUGGAAGUCAGUAGAGUGCAGGGUGACAGGCUGGUCGGGCGAGCUGCAGCAGCAGCAUUAUUUCUCCCUGGCAGAUCAUUUGCUUUCCCCCUUCUGUUUACAGAGGUACCGUGCGGUUGUUUGCCUUCUCCUCCUUUGCCUUUAAAGGGAAGGCGACUAGAAGCCGAAGACGCAGCAGCCGGAGAAUCAGGAAACCAUGCGCCAGCACUGCUUUUUCCUCCUGUGAAUCUGGAUCUUUAUUUUUGCUGGAGAGGGUAGAGGUUGCUGCUGGUUCUUCCCCUUCCCUCCUUCCCCUGCCGAUGUGUCUUCCUCUGUCCCUUUUGCCAGUGUUUUUUAAAUGACUUGAGCGGAGGGGGGAAAAACUGUCAAGAUGGCAGCAGCAGGAGCAAGGAGGUUAUGAAUGUGGUGUUGAUGCUGGAACAAAACCCAUCCUCUUGGCAGCCCGACGGAGGGCUUAAAGCUUCUGGACCUGUUGGAAGACUGGUGAUUUGAUUUGUUUUUGUUUUGCUUUCCUCGCAAAAAGGGUAAAAAAUCCAGAGUGGCUUUUUCUUCCCCUGUUCGGUUGGUUGUGAAAUUUAGUUUUGUAUAUAUAUCUAUAGAUCUGUAUAUUUUUUGGAAAGUGGAAUGCAUAAGUACGGCAAAUGCUAGUGUGCGAUUGGAGGUACAUUAAGACUUCAGCUCCCUCUGGGGCGUUUUGAAGGAGGAAAAAGUCAUCAAUGUAAUUUGAAGGACCCCUCUCUCUUUCCCCCGGCCAGAGAGAGAAAAAGGGACACGUCUGCCAGAGCAGCCGGGAGCAGGCUUGGUGGUGUUGGAGGGGUCUCUCUCCGAUGGAUACAGCGUGAUUGCCAGUGGAGCGCUUCUGCAGCUGCAUGGAGUGAAACAUAAACAAACACACACCACUGAGCUGCACCAACUCCACUGCGUUUGGGCUGCCGCUGGCGCCAUCCCCCCACCCAUCGGGCUCAAGGGGCGCAUCUGGAACCUCUGGCCUUGCCUGAUCCCUUAUUGAUCGCCUUGUGAUUAUUAGUGGUAUUGUGUGUGUGUGUGUGUGCACUGUCUGCUGGGAGAGGGGGCGGGGGAAGGCAGGAGGCUGCAGGACUUUAAUGGAGAGUGGCAUGUUCACUCGCUCCCCCCUGCCUGGUAGGCACUGAUCCGCAGCGGCAGGAGGAGGACUGGGGUCCGGACCUGUCUAUCCCAUCGCAGCACCAGGAGCAGCAGCAGCGGGAGGAGGGGAAGCCAAGAUGGCAGAGGCGUCUCCCGCUGCCCCCCUCUCCCCCCUGGACGUGGAGCUGGACCCGGAGUUCGAGCCCCAGAGCCGGCCCCGCUCCUGCACUUGGCCCCUACAGAGGCCUGAGUUGCAGGCGAGCCCGGCCAAGCCCUCGGGGGAAGCGGCCGCGGACGCCGCCUCCAUGAUCCCCGAGGAGGAGGACGACGAGGAGGAAGGGGGCAGCUCGCCCAUGGCCAUCGGCAGUGGCGGCGGAGGGGAAGCGCUGGCCCCGGAGGAGGCGGCGCGGCUGCUGGCCCCGCUGUCCGGGGUCGGGACGGAGGGCUCGGGCCAGGCCCCCGGGGCAGCGGCCGCCGGGGGCAGCGGGCUGGGCGGCGGGCAGCCGGCGGCGGCGGCGGCGCCGCGGAAAUGCUCGUCCCGGCGGAACGCGUGGGGCAACCUGUCCUACGCCGACCUGAUCACCCGCGCCAUCGAGAGCGCCCCGGACAAGCGGCUCACCCUGUCCCAGAUCUACGACUGGAUGGUGCGCUGCGUGCCCUACUUCAAGGAUAAGGGCGACAGCAACAGCUCGGCCGGCUGGAAGAACUCAAUCCGGCAUAAUUUGUCACUUCACAGUCGAUUCAUCAGGGUACAGAAUGAAGGAACUGGGAAAAGCUCUUGGUGGAUGAUUAAUCCAGAUGGUGGAAAAGGUGGGAAGCCCCCCCGGAGACGUGCUGUUUCAAUGGACAAUAGCAACAAGUACACAAAGAGCAGAGGCCGAGCAGCUAAGAAAAAGGCAGCCCUGCAAGCUGCACAAGAAGCUAGCGAGGACAGCCCAUCUCAGCUUUCCAAGUGGCCAGGGAGCCCAACUUCCCGCAGCAGUGAUGAGCUGGAUGCUUGGACAGAUUUCCGCUCUCGUACAAAUUCAAAUGCCAGUACAAUAAGUGGCCGUUUGUCACCGAUAUUGGCGAGUACCGAACUCGAUGACGUUCAGGAUGAUGAUGCUCCACUUUCUCCAAUGCUGUACAAUAGUCCAUCAAGCAUGUCCCCAUCGGUAAAUAAACCAUGUACUGUUGAGUUGCCGAGGUUGACUGAUAUGGCAGGCACAAUGAACUUGAAUGAUGGACUGACAGAUAACCUCAUCAUGGAUGAUCUUUUGGACAAUAUAACGCUCCCCUCUCCCCAACAGUCACCAUCAGGGGGGCUCAUGCAAAGAAGCUCCAGUUUUCCAUAUGGUUCCAAAGGUUCCGGACUUGGUUCUCCAUCAAGUAAUUUCAACAGUGCUGUGUUUGGACCAUCAUCUCUGAAUUCUCUUCGUCAGUCUCCCAUGCAAACCAUUCAAGAGAACAAGCAAGCUACCUUUUCUUCCAUUUCUCAUUAUAACAACCAGACGCUGCAGGAUCUGCUGGCAUCUGACUCACUUAGUCACAGUGAUGUCAUGAUGACGCAGUCUGAUCCACUUAUGUCUCAAGCCAGCACAGCUGUGUCUGCCCAGAAUUCACGCAGGAGUAUCAUGCUUCGUAGUGAUCCAAUGAUGUCAUUUGCUGCUCAGUCCAACCAGGGAAGUUUGGUCAAUCAGAACCUGCUCCACCACCAGCAUCAAUCUCAGAAUUCUUCUCUUGGUGGCAGUCGUGCCUUGUCAAAUUCCAUCAGUAACAUGGGCUUAAAUGAUACGAACAACUUGGGGUCGGCCAAACACCAGCAGCAGUCACCUGUCAAUCAAUCUAUGCAAACACUUUCUGACUCGCUCUCAGGCUCUUCUUUGUAUUCCACUAGUGUGAACCUUCCAGUCAUGGGGCAUGAUAAAUUCCCAAGUGAUUUGGACCUGGAUAUUUUCAAUGGAAGCUUGGAAUGUGACAUGGAGUCCAUUAUCCGCAGUGAACUCAUGGAUGCAGAUGGGUUGGAUUUUAACUUCGAUUCCCUCAUCUCAGCUCAGAACGUUGUCAGUCUGAACGUGGGGAGCUUCACUGGUGCUAAGCAGGCUUCGUCACAGAGUUGGGUGCCAGGCUGAAGGAUCUUUGAGAAAAGGAGAAAUGGGCAAAGCAGCAUCGUGCCCUGCAACUGCAGAAUGCCGGUAGUGCUGAACAUGCAAGUUGAAAUCCUGACCCAAGUCAAUGGCAAAAGUCUCACUGAGUUCAGUGGUGCCAGGAUUUCACCCACGGUUGAUACCACUGCUCUCCCCGUGUGUAGGUCUGUGGGGGAAAGACAGAGUUCUGCCCAUCGAACGGUUACACACCACUGUGGAAAAAGUCCAGUGGCCCUCUUCGUUACUGUGGACUUCUGUGUGCAGAGGGCCAAAAUCAAAGCUAUCAUUAGCAAAGCUGCUACAUCUGCUUACACUGGUUCUGAAUUUAGUGCAGAAGGUGAUAGCUUCCAACACCACCAAUACCAAGGAAUUAAUGAAAAUGUGGGAGUAUGAGACCGAAAAGGGCCCUUAAACUGACAUGAGACCUAAAGAGAGAACCCUUUGCCAAAUCUGCUGUCAGCAAGUGGACAGUGAUACCGUUUACAGCUUAUGAUCUUUGUGAGCCCUGCAUUAUUUUCCUAAUGAAGCAGAGACUGUUAAUGGGCCCCUUACCCAAGCGAAGAGCCUCCUUUUUCGGAAUUGAACUCGUUCUAAAGUAUGCAAAAUCUUCCUUUUAUGGGAUGGUCAAGCACCUACUGUGGAGACAAUGUUCAGCACCAUCCUGUUGAGAACACACUGUGUAGCCUUUACAGUAGUUAUUUGUCAAUGAGUAUGUGGUGUUUCAAUAUAUUAAUGGUUUGUGGGUUAUUUUAAGUUGGCUUCUAUUUUGGGGGGGGGUCUCCAUCUCACCCCUCUAACCUUCAGUUUGUUUUGUUUUUUAAAGAUGUUUUAACCAUUUUCUCUUUCUCUCCUGGUGCAUCUGAAAUACAGUGUAUGCACAAUGAAAGGCUAUACUAAUUACCAUUACCCAACAUAGCUUCAGACAUCAGCACUACCUGAGUAUGUAGCAUUCAUUACACCAAGCAACUGACUGAAGUCCAGAGAGAGGUGGCUUGUGGGUUUUGUUUGUUUGUUGUCUUUUUUUUUCAAACCUUUUCUUCAAUUUAAUGGUACAUACCUUGUUUUUCAUAAACAGCAAACCAGAGUUGAUUACAUAACGAGAGAAACUAGCAAGGUUGCUAGUCCUGUCCAGUGUUUAUAAGGACUGAGUGAGAGUGCCAUUUCAUCAUAUUUACUGAUUCGGCACCUGAUUUGAUUUGAUCGAUCUCACGUAUUGCAUUAUGUUAGCACAGCUGCCCUAAUGGUUGCAGUGAAUAGAAUUAGUCUGCCUCAGCAGUUUGGAAACUGGUUGAUCUUAAAACAAGUAAUAAGAUAAGCUGUCCACCCAUUGCCAAACAAGUUGAAUGUAACCACUUGUGAGGAUAUGGUUUAAAAAGGAAAGGGAAGUAAAAUAUAUGACAUUGCAGAAAAGAUAACUUACAGUAUAUGCAUCAACAGUGACUUACAGUAGAGUCAUCAGAAGUUCAAAUGCAGAUCACUGCAGGGUAAGUUAUUACAUCAGUGAUUUUUUUUUACAUACAUAUCCUUGAUUAUUUUUUCCUUCUCACUAUGCGUAAUCCAAUCUGAAAGAAGCUGUAGAGGGAAAGGCAAGAAAGUAAUGCUAUACAAACAGCUUUUCAUAUAAGCUUAGAUUGUAAUUGGAUAAAUGACACUGAAAGACAAGGCAGUUUUUUAUGUUUUGCUUAUAUGGGUUUUCUUUUGUAAAAUGAAUAAUAAUGAAUAAAAGGUAUGGUGCUGCUGUAUAGAUUCUCUCUAUAAUCUGGAAAGCUUGAUUACUUUUUAUUACUAUUUUUUUGCGGGGGGAGGAAAAAAGAGGAGGAAACACCAAUGGUACAUAAGAACUUGGUAUGAAGACGCUCUGAAUAGGACAGUGUAUACAUACUUCUCCAAAGUGAUAUAUGAAGACUUUUUUCUUUGCAUAAAAGCAUUAUGCAUAUAAAUAUAUAAAUAUAUUUUAUUAUGUACAGAAAUGGAUCAUUAUGCAUGGAUGUUAGGAAAACAAGCUAGCAUUUUAACCCAAAGUUUCAGUGCAUGAGUUCCCACUGACAAAUGUACCAUGCAAUGUGGAGUGACUCCCUUUCACCGCUGCCACCACACAUACACACACACACACAAACUCACACGCACACAUUUGUGGGCCCCAUCUUGCUCCUUACUUUCCAGUUUCCUGAAGUAAUAUUGGUGAAAUAACAGCUCCUAGUGUGAUGGAAAUUUUGUUUUGUAUUGUAACCUCCUCAUGCUUGUGCUGUUCUGUUUUAUAGAUGAACCUGUUGAUUUCAUCCUGCCCUUUACUGAAUAUGUAAACUCUGUGCAGUUGUGAUUAUAGUAGACCCGUAGCAUAUCAAGCAGCUAAGAGUUUAUCAUUUUCAUUAGGUGAAACAACAUUUUUUUUAAAUUAAGGUGGUCUAUUUAUCAAUGGCAGGGACUAGUUUAUUGUUUUUUUCUUUAUCAUCAGAAUUAGUUGAUGAUGCACAUUACUGAUCUCCCCAGCUGAGAUGAUAUUUCGGGUAACCAGCUACCCAGUACGACAAUGGUGUACAGCAGUCAUCUGUUUUAGGGGUCAGUUCACUUACAGGAGUCCAGAUGCAGGCACCUUUUACCAAAGUUAGUAAAGAGCUUUACUGCAAGCCUUCACUGUACUCGGCGUGUAUAACAGUAUCUGUCAGGUUUUUGGUACAUCAUUAAAUGUGAAUUAAACUGAGGGUGUUUUUCUUUCUUUGUCUUCUGUGGUAUUGUGCUUGCUGAUUGACACUUUUCAAUCUUAAAGUCUCACUCUCUGAUUAAUAGGAGGGCUGUGCACAAGUACUCUGGUACAAAGCAGGCUUUGUGUUUAUUUCUGGUGUGACGUUUUGUUGAACUAUCUAUUGUCCACUGGAGGAUGGAAUACAUCGUGGCGCUGUCAUAGAGCAAGCAGCAGAUUCUCCCUUUCACAUGGUCUAAUUUAAGGCAGGUUACAAAUACAUAGGUAGGACAGGAUUCUGGUACUGAAUCUACCUACCGUAUAUAUUCACUGACUGCACCUUUUUUAUUUGGAUUUCUUGGAGAAAUAUUGGACCAAUCUGUCUGCUCACAUAACUUAAAUGGCAUAGUGCCAACAGAAAAUUUGGCCCACUUUAUAGAGCAGAAUAACAAAACAUAUUGGGUCAAAUUCUGCUCUCAAUUACAAUGAUGUAAAUCUGGAAUAACUGAUGGUAGUGAGUUACUCCAGAUUUACAGCACUGUCUCUCCGUGAUGCACAACCCAAGCACCCAGGCUCUGCUCUAGGGAUCUUCUUGGGAGCAGGAACAAGGAAUCCUCCUCUCCAGGCCACUCCAUAGCUGGUACUCCCAGCAUCAGAGCAGAAAUAGCCUUAGCACUGCCUUGCCUGUGUGCCCCUCCACAGCGGGGAAUGGCCAUCAGAUCCAUGUAGCAGCAGAUCCACCAACUGUGCCCCAUCCCCAAAUCCCUUCUGGGCAGUACAUACUGAGGUGAGCUCCACGUCUUCAGAUAUUCAACUCCUGCAGACUCACAUUGCAGCAGAACUGCCCCUCUUCUUCCACUGCAGGCAGAACCUGCUUGUACCCAUUUUGGAGGACAGGAUUUAUGCCAGUGACCAGGAUUUGCCCCAUCGUUCACAGUUGCACACAAGGAGAUAAGGCCCAGUGCUGCAGUCUUUACUCAGAUGAAAUCUCCCAUUAAAUGGGCUUGCCUGCAUAAGGAGUGCAGAUUGUGUUGUUAGAGUCCUUUGUUAACACCAACAAAGUUCUGUUUUGACGUUAUGACUACGGCAACAAAGACGAGUAAUUUUAUUUUUUCUUGGUACGGAACUAAUAUGUCUAAUGGAAGGGAAAGACUGCUUGUUUGAACAAACUGGGCUAAACUUUGUUACUGCAGUGUUAAUGCAGCGUGACUCCCAUGAGAUCAGUGGAGUUACGUCAGAUUUGCAAAAUAUGGUCCACUUUUUUUUAGAAAAUGAAGAAAUACCAGUCGGUUCAGAGACAUCCAAUCAAUGGCAGAGAAGUUAUAGAACCUUUCAAACAAAUCAAAAUCAAAGCUCAAGCAAAUAAGGGGCCUCCCACUGAAGUUAUUAUUCAGUGCUCCCACUGAAGUUAAUGACAAAACUCUCAUUGGCUUCCGCAGUGCAGUUUUGGCCUCCUAGUGUUAGGGGAAAAAACCUGCACUACCUGGGGAGGGAUGGACUAGAAAAACAUAGAGGUUUUUUCUCUCUCUAAUUUUGGCGGCCAACAUUUUCAAACUUAAAUAUGUGAAGUUAAGCACCUACGGCUGGAAUUUUCAAGGGGCAUAAGGGAGUUAGGUGCUCUGCUUUCAUUGUUUUUCAGUGGGAGUAGGGUGCCUCAUUCCUUGAGACCCCUUGGAAAAUCCCAGGCCUAAAUGUAUAUUUAGGCACAUAAAAAGGGCCCCAAUUUUCAGAGGUGCAGAAUAGUCACAUCUCUUAGAGCAUCCAACGGCAGCCAUGGGGACUGAGCACCUUUGCAAAUCAGAUCACUUAUUUAGGUGCCAAAGUAUGGAUUCAGGAAUUUUUGAAACUUUGGCCUUUGUUCCAGGAAUAUUUUUGAGCAUUAACACCCCCCCACACACACACACACAAAGAUCAUGCCCAACAGAUAAAGUCUCAGAACACAUGCACAGGUGAUUGUUUAAAUGUUGUGUUUUAAAACAUUCUAAAAAGGGUAAUGCUUAUGCAGUUUAGACAAGUCUGCUUUUAUUUAAUUUUCUUUGUGAAAUAUCUUCUCAUAUGAAUAGCUGGUUAAUAGGCCACUGCCUAACUCCAGAAAUAUUGUACUACUGCUUUACAAAGCUGAAUGUUGGGACAUACAUUGCUCUAAAAUUAUGUCAUUGCUUGGCAAUCAGGCUCCUAUAAUUGUUUUAGUACAUUAUGUACACUGGAAAUGUCAACACAUGUGCAGGAGGACCAGAUGCAUUUUGUUAAUAUGGGGGGGUGGAGGGGGGGGAAAUGAUUGUACGUUUUGGCUUCACAUGUUAAACUUUUUUUAAAAAAAAGUUGCAUGACUGGAAAAUAACCUGUAUACAGUAUCUGUAAACCUGUUUUAUCUGUUUUUGUUUCACCAUGUCAAGCCAUAUACAUUGGAAAAAUAUUAAAUCGACAGCCUUUAUGCAUGGCUGUCUUUACAUACUGAAGAACUGAAGAAUUAAUUUGGGCUUUCUUGCACUUUCAUGUUGCGUUCUUACUGAGGACUUUGUAAAUUAGUUGCUGCCCUGGAUGAAUAUACUACCUUACUACACAAAGAUUGGAAACAUGUUUGAUUUUAAAAUCUUCCCCUUUCCAAAUGAAGUAGAGAUGCAGUGCUUACUCCACUUGGUGUUAGUAGAUAUUGCCUUGUGUAUUCCUUUUUAAAUUGUAAUCUAGUUUGUAAAAGAGAUGGUGCCGCAUGUAAAUAAAGCAUAAUGGAUCUCUA